rnacentral:rRNA from 2 species
GAGUAAUGUCUGGGAAACUGCCUGAUGGAGGGGGAUAACUACUGGAAACGGUGGCUAAUACCGCAUAACGUCGCAAGACCAAAGAGGGGGACCUUCGGGCCUCUUGCCAUCAGAUGUGCCCAGAUGGGAUUAGCUUGUUGGUGAGGUAACGGCUCACCAAGGCGACGAUCCCUAGCUGGUCUGAGAGGAUGACCAGCCACACUGGAACUGAGACACGGUCCAGACUCCUACGGGAGGCAGCAGUGGGGAAUAUUGCACAAUGGGCGCAAGCCUGAUGCAGCCAUGCCGCGUGUAUGAAGAAGGCCUUCGGGUUGUAAAGUACUUUCAGCGGGGAGGAAGGUGUUGUGGUUAAUAACCGCAGCAAUUGACGUUACCCGCAGAAGAAGCACCGGCUAACUCCGUGCCAGCAGCCGCGGUAAUACGGAGGGUGCAAGCGUUAAUCGGAAUUACUGGGCGUAAAGCGCACGCAGGCGGUCUGUCAAGUCGGAUGUGAAAUCCCCGGGCUCAACCUGGGAACUGCAUUCGAAACUGGCAGGCUUGAGUCUUGUAGAGGGGGGUAGAAUUCCAGGUGUAGCGGUGAAAUGCGUAGAGAUCUGGAGGAAUACCGGUGGCGAAGGCGGCCCCCUGGACAAAGACUGACGCUCAGGUGCGAAAGCGUGGGGAGCAAACAGGAUUAGAUACCCUGGUAGUCCACGCCGUAAACGAUGUCUACUUGGAGGUUGUGCCCUUGAGGCGUGGCUUCCGGAGCUAACGCGUUAAGUAGACCGCCUGGGGAGUACGGCCGCAAGGUUAAAACUCAAAUGAAUUGACGGGGGCCCGCACAAGCGGUGGAGCAUGUGGUUUAAUUCGAUGCAACGCGAAGAACCUUACCUGGUCUUGACAUCCACAGAACUUUCCAGAGAUGGACUGGUGCCUUCGGGAACUGUGAGACAGGUGCUGCAUGGCUGUCGUCAGCUCGUGUUGUGAAAUGUUGGGUUAAGUCCCGCAACGAGCGCAACCCUUAUCCUUUGUUGCCAGCGGUCCGGCCGGGAACUCAAAGGAGACUGCCAGUGAUAAACUGGAGGAAGGUGGGGAUGACGUCAAGUCAUCAUGGCCCUUACGACCAGGGCUACACACGUGCUACAAUGGCGCAUACAAAGAGAAGCGACCUCGCGAGAGCAAGCGGACCUCAUAAAGUGCGUCGUAGUCCGGAUUGGAGUCUGCAACUCGACUCCAUGAAGUCGGAAUCGCUAGUAAUCGUGGAUCAGAAUGCCACGGUGAAUACGUUCCCGGGCCUUGUACACACCGCCCGUCACACCAUGGGAGUGGGUUGCAAAAGAAGUAGGUAGCUUAACCUUCGGGAGGGCGCUUACCACUUUGUGAUUCAUGACUGGGGUGAAGUCGUAACAAGGUAACCGUAGGGGAACCUGCGGUUGGAUCACCUCCUUACCUUAAAGAAGC